rnacentral:lncRNA from 1 species
AGCUUGGUGCACUCCUUGUUACACUUUUCCUACCUCUUUUGACAGCUUCCGAGUUUGGGAAGAGGCCCCUUUUCCUCCUCCGAUGUAUCUAGACCAGAUGUAGCACAGGGACCUCGUGGCGCAAAAGGAGCUCUCUCCGGCUGACGCAAAGCUGCUGCGGGUUUCCAUUGCUGGCAAGCUCUGCUACAACAGAGGGAGUUCAGUCACUUACAGCACCCAGCAGGUACAUCAUCAAAAUCAGUGUAUUGAAAUUGAAUGCUACAGAGAAGGUUGCCAGAAUGAUCAGAAGUAUGAUCUAGCAGCCACAAGAGGAAAGACUGAAUCCACUAGAACUGCUACAUCCCUGCCUGGAAAAGACUGAAAGGGUGAAGGUAGUAUGAAUGAGUAAAACCUUACAAACAGUCUGAAGAAGGUGCACAGGCAAUGAUUAUUCACUUUUUUUUUUUUUUUCCCAGAACACAGAAUGAAGGUACACUCACUGCAACAGUGAAACAAGAAAUAUAAACUAAAGAAAAGGUAAGGUAGUGUGCUAAAUGGACCUCUGAUUUGACCCAGCGCAAUUGUUCUUAUAUUCUUACAUAAAUCAAUAACUAGAGCUAUGACAAAUCCUGCUGAAGUCAGUGGGUCGAAAUUUGGUUUAUUUACAGCCUUCAUGUGUAC